rnacentral:rRNA from 1 species
AAUUGAGAGGAGCUGUCCCUAGUACGAGAGGACCGGGAUGGACGUACCACUGGUGGACCGGUUGUAGCGCCAGCUGCAGUGCCGGGUAGCUAAGUAUGUAAGAGAUAACCGCUGAAAGCAUCUAAGUGGGAACCUCACCUCAAAACUAGUUCUUCCCAUAGAGCCGUAGUAGACUACUACGUUGAUAGGCUGGAUGUGGAAGCGCGGUGACGCGUGUAGCUGACCAGUACUAAUAGCUCAAUUGGCUUGAUUUAUG